rnacentral:rRNA from 1 species
GACGAACGCUGGCGGCGUGCUUAACACAUGCAAGUCGUACGGUAUGGCCCUUUCGGGGGUACACGAGUGGCGAACGGGUGAGUAACACGUGAGUAACCUGCCCACAACUUUGGGAUAACGCUAGGAAACUGGUGCUAAUACUGGAUAUGUGCUCCUGCUGCAUGGUGGGGGUUGGAAAGCUCCGGCGGUUGUGGAUGGACUCGCGGCCUAUCAGCUUGUUGGUGGGGUAGUGGCCUACCAAGGCGGCGACGGGUAGCCGGCCUGAGAGGGUGACCGGCCACAUUGGGACUGAGAUACGGCCCAGACUCCUACGGGAGGCAGCAGUGGGGAAUAUUGCACAAUGGGCGCAAGCCUGAUGCAGCAACGCCGCGUGCGGGAUGACGGCCUUCGGGUUGUAAACCGCUUUCAGCAGGGACGAAGCUUUUUGUGACGGUACCUGCAGAAGAAGCACCGGCUAACUACGUG